rnacentral:tRNA from 1 species
AGAUCUGUGCCCGAGCGUCUAGGGAUCACUUUGAUAGAGUGACACACGAGGGUUAAAAUCCCCCCAGCUCUU